CGACUCUGCCGUACUAGGUGUUUUAGCUACAUUUUGACUUUUCGUCUUAUUUAAAAUUUUUCUGCGAUUACUAUUUUUAUUGUUACUAGAGGAUAAAACAUGAAUAAUACUUUAUAUGUGACUAAUUUUUUUUUAUGUUUUUAAUAAUUUUUUAAAUAAGAUAAAUGGUCAAACAAUUAAACACGGAAAUCGAAAAAUAAAGUUAUG
rnacentral:pre_miRNA from 1 species